rnacentral:tRNA from 1 species
AAAAAGAUAAGCUAAGCAAGCUGUUAGGUUCAUACCCUGAUAAUGGGAGCCCCCACCCUCCCUCUUUUUA